rnacentral:rRNA from 1 species
GACGAACGCUGGCGGCGUGCUUAACACAUGCAAGUCGAACGGAAAGGCCCUGCUUUUGGGGGGUGCUCGAGUGGCGAACGGGUGAGUAACACGUGAGUAACCUGCCCUUGACUUUGGGAUAACUUCAGGAAACUGGGGCUAAUACCGGAUAGGAGCUCCUGCUGCAUGGUGGGGGUUGGAAAGUUUCGGCGGUUGGGGGUGGACUCGCGGCUUAUCAGCUUGUUGGUGGGGUAGUGGCUUACCAAGGCUUUGACGGGUAGCCGGCCUGAGAGGGUGACCGGCCACAUUGGGACUGAGAUACGGCCCAGACUCCUACGGGAGGCAGCAGUGGGGAAUAUUGCACAAUGGGCGGAAGCCUGAUGCAGCAACGCCGCGUGCGGGAUGACGGCCUUCGUGUUGUAAACCGCUUUCGCCUGUGACGAAGCGUGAGUGACGGUAAUGGGUAAAGAAGCACCGGCUAACUACGUG